UACAGAGGGGGCCAGCGUUAUUCGGAAUUAUUGGGCGUAAAGGGCGCGUAGGCGGCUUUGCGUGUCUUUCGUGAAAUCCCUCGGCUCAACUGAGGACGUGCGGAAGAAACUGCAGGGCUGGAGUCCGGGAGAGGAGGGUGGAAUUCCCAGUGUAGCGGUGAAAUGCGUAGAUAUUCGCAAGAACACCAGUGGCGAAGGCGGCUCACUGGCCCGGUACUGACGCUGAGGUGCGAAAGCGUGGGGAGCAAACAGG
rnacentral:rRNA from 1 species